rnacentral:rRNA from 1 species
GGGCCCGCACAAGCGGUGGAGCAUGUGGUUUAAUUCGAUGAUACGCGAGGAACCUUACCAGGACUUAAAUGUAAGUUGCAUGAUUCAGAAAUGAAUCUUUCUUCGGACUACUUACAAGGUGCUGCAUGGUUGUCGUCAGCUCGUGCCGUGAGGUGUCAGGUUAAGUCCUAUAACGAGCGCAACCCCCUAUCGUUAGUUGCCAUCAAGUAAAAGUUGGGAACUCUAACAAGACUGCCGGUGCAAACCGUGAGGAAGGUGGGGAUGACGUCAAAUCAUCACGGCCCUUACGUCCUGGGCUACACACGUGCUACAAUGGUCGGUACAGAGAGCAGCCACUACGCGAGUAGGAGCGAAUCUUCAAAGCGAUCAC